AUUGAACGCUGGCGGCAGGCCUAACACAUGCAAGUCGAACGGUAACAGGAAACAGCUUGCUGUUUCGCUGACGAGUGGCGGACGGGUGAGUCAUGUCUGGGAAACUGCCUGAUGGAGGGGGAUAACUACUGGAAACGGUAGCUAAUACCGCAUAACGUCGCAAGACCAAAGAGGGGGGCCUUCUUGCCGCGUGCCAUGGGGUGUGCCCAGGUGGUCAUAGCUUGGAGGGGGGGUUAGGGCUCACCUGGGCGACUGUCCCUAGCUGGUGUGAGGGGCUGACCGGCCACACUGGAACUGAGACACGGUCCAGACUCCUACGGGAGGCAGCAGUGGGGAAUAUUGCACAAUGGGCGCAAGCCUGAUGCAGCCAUGCCGCGUGUAUGAAGAAGGCCUUCGGGUUGUAAAGUACUUUCAGCGGUGAGGAAGGGAGUAAAGUUAAUACCUUGACUCAUUGACGGUACCCGCAGAAGAAGCACCGGCUAACUCCGUG
rnacentral:rRNA from 1 species